GGGGUAACGGUCAUUAUGCCCCGCAAUAGCUAAUACAGUCCCCCAAAAAACAAUUGCCCCGUUUCACCCCCAUAUCGUAUAACAGUCACAGCCGUUACCUAUACAUAUUGGCCUUUACGGCUGUAUUGUAAUGGAUACGGAACACCUUGAUGUAUGAUGAAUGAAUGUUAUGUAACUAUCUAAUAUCUAGUAUCUAGAGAAUGAAUGUAAUAAGAUAAUGUAGAAAAUGAAAUGAAUGAGAUAGUUGUAGAAAAUGAAAUGAGAGGAAUGUAUCUAGAAACUUACAACUAGAAACUAGAAAGAGAUACAUGUAGUCUUGUAGAAAAUGAAAUGAGAGAAUGUAAGUGUAACUAUGUAAUGUAAGAGACUUGGAAUUCAAUGUAUUCUUGCUUCUUCUAUCUUGAAUCCCUGAUUCUUGAUUGAAACUUGAAAGUUGGAGCUUGGGUCUUGAAGAGUUAGAACUUGAGAGUUGAAAAAUGGAGAAUGUAAAAGAGAAUUAGAGGAGGAGUUUGAGUGAAUGUAACUUGUAAAUAGAGGGGACUUGAAUGCCUUUUUAUGAUAAAAAGUCCAGAUUUGCAAAAAUUAAUUAAUUAAAUACCCAACGGCCAUAUUUCUGACCGUUGGGUAUGUGAUCACAUACAUCUCAUAUGCUUGCAUUUGCAAAACAUGUGAUCGCAUAUGCGAUCAGUGCAUAAAUAUGUGACCACAGUGAUAACACUGCCUACGACACACAACCACGUUGGAAUGCAAAUUGCCUGCGAAAGCAGUGCUGGAAGGUUGAUUGCCUGCAAAAGCCCUAGGGAAACUAGGUGGGGCCCACUAUGAUGUUUGUGAGAAAUCCACCCUGUCAAUCUAUUUUUCCAUAUCACAUUAGAUCAUGGGACAAAAAAAUGAGGUAGAUCCAAAGCUCAAUUGGCCCACACGACAUGAAACAAUGGGUACGGAAUAGCCUACCGUUGAAACCUCCCUAGGGUGCACCAUGACAUUUAUAUGUGAUCCAUACCGUUCAUAAGGUCA